rnacentral:rRNA from 1 species
AUACGGAGGUUGCAAGCGUUAAUCGGAAUUACUGGGCGUAAAGCGCGCGUAGGCGGCUGAUUAAGUCGGAUGUGAAAUCCCUGGGCUCAACCUAGGAACUGCAUCCGAUACUGGUCAGCUAGAGUUUUGGAGAGGUAAGUGGAAUUUCCGGUGUAGCGGUGAAAUGCAUAGAGAUCGGAAGGAACACCAGUGGCGAAGGCGACUUACUGGCCAAAAACUGACGCUGAGGUGCGAAAGCGUGGGUAGCGAACAGGAUUAGAUACCCCAGUAGUCC